UGAGCCAUAGUCAAUUUUUCUUCUAAGUUGU
rnacentral:piRNA from 1 species